GUAUCGUGGCUGGAUAUCAGGGCCCAGUUGCUAUAAAAGUUUGGCCCUUCUCCGUCUAUUGUACGUAGCAUUCAGACACUAAACUCACAACAUAUCAAGAUGCGUGUCUUCCUAGCCUCAAUCCUCGCCGUCUUAGUAGCCUGUGUCUCAAGUAAACCAGCGCCAGGCUUGCUGGGCUUAGAUAAUCUCCUCGGUGGUGCUGUUUCUGGUGUCGCCCACACGGGAAGUGGUGCUGUCAAUGGUCUACUGAGUACAGGCGGUGGUCUCGCUGGUGGUGCUCUCAAUGCAGUUAAAGGUCCUCUAGACAUGGCUGGCGGGCUGGUAAAAGGCGUUGGUGGUCUCGCUAGUGGUCUAACGAGCAGUGUCUUGGGUGGUGGUCUCUUAGGUGGCGACCUCUUGGGCGGCCUCUUUGGCUAGCUGGUGGUGUUUUAGGUGGUCUUAGAACGGCUGGCGGCCCGCAGCUCGACACUGCUCCCUGCCGAGUCAAUGACGUCACUGGAGGUCAGUUUGUCCUGCCACAAGAUUUUAUUGUUAAUGUUCGUGUUUUGAAAGUCGACCACUGAUAUACA